rnacentral:miRNA from 1 species
UGCUAUCCAUGUGUGUGUGUGUGUGUGUGUGUGUGUGUACACAGUGCUUUUCUUCUAGAAAUCUCUCUCUCUCUCUGUACACACACACACACACACACACACACACACA